AGCACAAAGUUCAGAUAAAGUUGGUCCUUGGCUUUGUAAUUUGAUUUAUAAUUUCCUCCUGUUCCUGCUUCUCCAGUCACAAUUCUUGGUUUCUGUAGGUUUGGUUAUUCCCUCAUUUUUCAUAAGUUCUGUAUCCUGUCCUGUACUACAAUGCAUUUUUAACUUUCUCAUGGUACUUCAUUUCAAGAACACUGGAAGAGAAGCCAAAAUUUUUAUGCACUAACUUCAGUAUGUUGUCAUAGUUGGCAAACGGAAGACAGAAAGCAAGAGGUGAGCAAAAUUCUAUUAAUUCCUGCAUAUUGAUUGUUUAUAGGUGAAUAAUUUAUAGGUGAAUAACUUAACUGUGAAAGUUAAGCAGUGUAGGCUUGUAUGGCUUGGUAAUUGGUGUGUAUAUUAGAAUGAGAGGCAGCAAGAAAUGCAGUGAUCCUGAGCACUGUCUCUAGAUUUGGAUUCCUGUCAACUGAAUUUAAUGAGGAGGGUGCUGAUGAGAAUACAGCCUUUCCAAACAGUGUCCCCACCUGCUGGGAAGGAAGUAUACAUAGGGUAGUAUUCAAAGCAAGAUAAUUAAAUACCUGUAUAUUUCAAAAGAGACUUCAGCUAUGAACUGUGAGAAUACCCUCAGUUGAGUUGCUUCAGGGACCUGUGUGUGAACCACUAUACCACUAGAUGUAACUCUAAAAUCUGAUGUUGGAAAAGAAAACCAGACACUCAAUGCCUUCUUUGCAAUCUAACACAAGAAAAAUGAAAUGUGAAGAAAGAUGUUGGUAAACAAUAUUCCUAUCCUUUCUACUGCUUAUUCAUAUAGCAAAAGAGUUAAUUUUACAAACAUCUUUACCUUAAAAUUAUCAUCCUUACUAUUUCUUAAGUUGCUAGAUGACCUUUCACAGGCAUGACAGACCACAGAACCUGUGCAUCACAUGCUUCAGUCAUUUAACUAAAUAAACUCAGAUGAUGAAUCUUAAAAAUAUUACUCAGCCAUUGCUGUUCAAGUUAACCAUAGGAGGUAAAAUUUCUCUCCUACUUGUUUGAAUUCCAAUAUUAAAUCAACCACUUCAUGUCCAGCGAGCCUCCCAGUAUCAGCAGGCUCUCAAAAUCUAAUUUUUCUAAAUAAAUGUCCCACAUUCAUAAUAAUUUAAAAAUGUAAACACUCUUUUCGGCAAACAUACAUAUUCAACAUAAUUCUUUUACACAGAAACAAAUAAAAAUUCCAAACAAACCACUACAGAAGUAAAAUAGCCAGCAAGAUGGAACGUCAAGACUUAUACAAUACCGUGUUUAAAAUCCCAAAGAAAUUAUAGGGU